CUCACGAUGAGUGUAGCUGUUUUCUCUUCUGAGGCUGACAGGAAGGCAGUAGCAGCAUGUUUUCAAGAGAUGCCACCAGUACUUGAAUUCUAUGAGUUGGCCAGCAACAAAGAAAGUGGCUUGAAAGAGCAAGAAGUGAGUAGUGACACCCAAGGUGGGCGAGUGGAAUAUAAAAGCAUUCUCCAGGGUUCUUAGUAAAAUUAAGGAAGCGGAAUGUGAAAGGAGGCAUGCAUGACUGCAGUCAUGCAGGAUGGAGAGCUGAAUGAUUUUUAUUUGGAAAUUAAAGAAAAGGCCAAUUCAAAAGUCCUGAAAACUUGAGGACCCUCAGGACAGAUAAAUGUGCACAUUGAGGUGGCUGGAAGAUGGCCAAAUAGGAACGGCUCCGGUCUGCAGCUCCCAGUGAGAUCAAUGCACAGAAGGUGUCCUUGCCUGAUUUUGGUAUCAGGGAGAUACUGGUUUCAUAGAAUGAGUUAGAUAUGAGGUUUAAGACCAGAAAGACUGACUCCAGAGCCCAGGCUCUCAACCAUCAUACCAACUGGCCUCCUUUUGUUGAAGGCUGAGGACCAUAUGGCAAGCAUGAAGACAAUAUGAUUGGCACCUUGGUUCUGUUUGAAUCGUCCUCAUAUUACAAAUCUCCACUCUGAUUUACUUUGUGUAUUAUUAAACACGCACCAUAUAUUGUUUUUUGCUGG
rnacentral:lncRNA from 10 species